rnacentral:rRNA from 1 species
AUUGAACGCUGGCGACAGGCCUAACACAUGCAAGUCGAACGAGUGGCGGACGGGUGAGUAAUGUCUGGGAAACUGCCGGAUGGAGGGGGAUAACUACUGGAAACGGUAGCUAAUACCGCAUACCAUCAGAUGUGCCCAGAUGGGAUUAGCUAGUUGGUGGGGUAACGGCUCACCAAGGCGACGAUCCCUAGCUGGUUUGAGAGGAUGACAAGCCACACUGGAACUGAGCCACGGUCCAGACUCAUACGCGAGGCAGCAGGGGGGAAUAUGGUACAAGUGGCGCAAGCCUGAUGCAGCCAUGCCGCGUGGAUGAAGAAGGCCUUCGGGUUGGAAAGUACUUUCAGCGGGGAGGCGUUACCCGCAGAAGAAGCACCGGCUAACUCCGUGCCAGCAGCCGCGGUAAUAC